rnacentral:misc_RNA from 1 species
GAAAUGCGAUAAGUAAUGUGAAUUGCAGAAUUCAGUGAAUCAUCGAAUCUUUGAACGCACCUUGCGCCCUUUGGUAUUCCGAAGGGCAUGCCUGUUUGAGUGUCAUUAAAUUAUCAACCUUUGCUCUUUGCGAGUGAAGGCUUGGAUGUGAGGGUUUGCUGGCUUCCUUCAGUGGAUGGUCUGCUCCCUUUAAAUGCAUUAGUGGGAUCCUUUGCGGACCGUCACUAGGUGUGAUAAUUAUCUAUGCCUUUUGACUUUGAAGCAAACUUAUGGGAAUCCGCUCAUAACCGUCUUCGGACAACUUUGACAAUUUGACCUCAAAUCAGGUAGGACUACCCGCUGAACUUAA